UACGUAGGGUGCGAGCGUUGUCCGGAAUUAUUGGGCGUAAAGAGCUCGUAGGCGGUCUGUCGCGUCGGUCGUGAAAACUUGGGGCUUAACCCUGAGCUUGCGGUCGAUACGGGCAUGACUGGAGUUCGGCAGGGGAGACUGGAAUUCCUGGUGUAGCGGUGAAAUGCGCAGAUAUCAGGAGGAACACCCGUGGCGAAGGCGGCUCUCUGGGACGGUACUGACGCUGAGGUGCGAAAGCGUGGGUAGCAAACAGG
rnacentral:rRNA from 1 species